rnacentral:rRNA from 1 species
UACGUAGGUCCCGAGCGUUGUCCGGAUUUAUUGGGCGUAAAGCGAGCGCAGGUGGUUUAUUAAGUCUGGUGUAAAAGGCAGUGGCUCAACCAUUGUAUGCAUUGGAAACUGGUAGACUUGAGUGCAGGAGAGGAGAGUGGAAUUCCAUGUGUAGCGGUGAAAUGCGUAGAUGUAUGGAGGAACACCGGUGGCGAAAGCGGCUCUCUGGCCUGUAACUGGCACUGAGGCUCGAAAGCGUGGGGAGCAAACAGG